GCUUAAAAGGUCUCACAUUAAUUUCAAAAGUUUUUCACUUUUCCAAUCAAUAUAUUAAUUUACCUCUUAGUUUAUUUUACGAAUGAACAUGAUUAAUUUCGUGUUAAAAUAUUUCACGCGUAAAAGUAAGAUAAAACAAGGUCACGAACACGUUACUAAAUAACUUAAUUGAAAUAAAAUAUAUAAAUAAAUAAGACUAAAAUUUAAAAACACUUUACUAAAUAAAAAAGAAGCGAAGUUAAAAAAACACCUCACUAAAUAAAAUAAAAAUAAAUAUAAAUAACAAAAAAAAAAUUAUAAACACCUCAC
rnacentral:lncRNA from 1 species